rnacentral:pre_miRNA from 1 species
UGUGAAAAAUUUCAUCCAUUUUUAUCUGGUGUGGCUGACAGUAUAAUCAAAUAAUUACAUCUGGUGUGCCACGUGUAUCUCAUUUUGGUGUAUAGAGACCAGUUUUUAAUAGUAGAAAUGGAUGGAAGUUUGCCCU